rnacentral:rRNA from 1 species
AUACGGAGGGUGCAAGCGUUAAUCGGAAUUACUGGGCGUAAAGCGCGCGUAGGCGGUUUGAUAAGUCGGAUGUGAAAUCGCCGGGCUCAACCUGGGAAUUGCAUUCGAUACUGUCAGGCUAGAGUGUGGUAGAGGGAAGUGGAAUUUCCGGUGUAGCGGUGAAAUGCGUAGAUAUCGGAAGGAACACCAGUGGCGAAGGCGGCUUCCUGGACCAACACUGACGCUGAGGUGCGAAAGCGUGGGGAGCAAACAGGAUUAGAUACCCUAGUAGUCC